rnacentral:rRNA from 1 species
UACGUAGGUGGCGAGCGUUGUCCGGAUUUAUUGGGCGUAAAGCGCGCGCAGGCGGUCGCGUAAGUCUGCUGUGAAAUCUCCCUGGCUCAACCGGGAGGGGGCGGCGGAGACUGCGGGACUGGAGGGACCUAGAGGCCGGUGGAAUUCCCGGUGUAGUGGUGAAAUGCGCAGAUAUCAGGAGGAACACCGGUGGCGAAGGCGGGUCUCUGGGCCGUAACUGACGCUGAGGAGCGAAAGCAUGGGGAGCGAACAGG